rnacentral:rRNA from 1 species
GACGAACGCUGGCGGCGUGCUUAACACAUGCAAGUCGAACGGAAAGGCCCUGCUUGCAGGGUAUUCGAGUGGCGAAAGGGUGAGUAACACGUGGGUGAUCUGCCCUGUACUUCGGGAUAAGCCUGGAGAACUGGGUCUAAUACCGGAUAGGAGCCAUUCUUAGUGUGAUGGUGGGAUGGUUUUUUCGGUGUAGGAUGAGCUCGCGGCCUAUCAGCUUGGUGGUGGGGUAAUGGCCUACCAAGGGGGCGAAGGGCAGGCGGCCGGAGAGGGUGGACGGCCACCAUGGGGAUUGGAUUCGGCCCAGGCUCCUAAGGGGGGCAAGAGGGGGGAAUAUUGCACCAUGGGGGGGAGGCUGAUGCAGCGACGCCGGGGGGGGGAUUGCGGGCUUCGGGUUGUAAACUCGUUUCGCUAUGGGCGAAGGUGUUUGUGACGGUAACUAGAAAAGAAGCACCGGCUAACUACGUG